AUGCAAGUCGAACGGGAUCCGUGACGUAGCAAUACUGAUCGGUGAGAGUGGCGGAAGGGCGAGGAACACGUGGGCAACCUGUCCAGAAGGUGGGGAAAACCUCGGGAAACUGAGGCUAAUACCGAAUGUGCCGGGAGGAGGGCAUCCUCCCUCCGGCAAAGGGGGCGGCAACGCUCCCCCUUCACGAGGGGCCCGCGCACCAUCAGCUAGUUGGCGGGGUAACGGCCCACCAAGGCCUACGGUUAGCUGGUCUGAGAGGAUGGCCAGCCGCACUGGGACUGAGAUACUGCCCAGACUCCUACGGGAGGCUGCAGUCGAGGAUCAUUCGCAAUGGGGGAAACCCUGACGAUGCGACGCUGCGUGGAGGACGACGGCCUUCGGGUUGUAAACUCCUGUCAUCGGGGAAAAGGCGAGGGGGCCCAACACGCCCCUUAGUUGAUGGUACCCGAAGAGGGAGCGACGGCUAACUCUGUGCCAGCAGCCGCGGUAAUACAGAGGUCGCAAGCGUCGUUCGGAUUUACUGGGCGUAAAGGGCGCGUAAGCGGCGGAAUGUGUCGGAUGUGAAAUCUCCGGGCUCAACCCGGAAAGUGCGUCCGAAACUAU
rnacentral:rRNA from 1 species